CCGGCGGCCAAACGUCCCCGCCCUAGGUACAGAAAGAGGGAGCCGACCAUAGAAAAGGGAACUCCAGGGAAGUUCCACUGACUGUGUUGGGGCGUCAACCGUGAAGCUCAUGGUGACGAUCGUUUAUCUGAUUACAAGGCGGUGGUGGUGCAAUUGAGACCUCAGACAGUCGGCGGCUAGGGUUAAUGACUCGAAGGUGAUGACGGAGACGAUGUAGAUUAAGUUUCAGGCGAUCAAUGGUGUCAAAUGAUGGCCGUUCAGAACAAAUGGACGGUCGGCGGUGACGGUCAAAACAAGGGAACACGUUCUGGUCACCUAUAGUUUAGGGUUUUGAACGUACCGACGAUUAGGAAGGAGAUAUGUUUGGGUGCAUAUUAAAUUUGUUGGUUUCUGUUCUACUUCUUGAGACAUUCAUAAAAGAGAGAAGAAAAAAGAAGCAGUGACACUUCUCUCUCAUCUUCAUUUCCAAAAUACUGCACACAUAGUAAAGGUGAGAGAGAGGCAAGAUGGCAGUGGUCGUUUCAGUGUGCUUCAGGUCUCUGGUGAAGCAUGAAGGCGGUGGUCGUUUCGAGGUGCUUCAGGUCCACCGAGAAGAAGAGGUGCAACAGUGGCUACGGUUUCGAGCAGGGGUUCACUUACCGCCACAGGUUCAGCUCGACCAGAUUUCCUAGGAGGACUUGAAUGCUUACAGCGGCAACGAUCCUCAAAGGCCUCUUCUUAUGGCCAUCAAAGGCCAGAUCUAUGAGACUAUGAUGUCUCGCAAAACAGGUUAUCUAUCAUCAAUUUCGAGGGUUUGAUUUAGUAUUACUUUCAGCUCAUCGGCGCCAUUCUUAGAGCCGAUUCUCAUACCAGCACAGGAUUGUACGUGGCGAAUAGAGCUUCCGACAAGAUCACUCAGCUCACUAUUGUAGGCGUGCUUUGGUCGUAGUAAUUCGAUUGUCCCCCUUAUAUGUAUGGAAUCAUUUAUGUUCAGUUCUUGAGUGGUAAACCACUAUCGUUAUAAAAUGCCUUUCUUGCAACCGGACAAAGCAUCGCCUUUAACAUCCUUGAAAUAACUGGUAACAAAUGUUGAGAAUCAAUCGACAAAAAAAGGAAAUGAAAUAACUGGUAACAUAUGUUAUUUUGGUACGUUUGUGAACUGGCUCAAAGUAGGAAAAUAUAAAAAGGGUGCAAUACAAUACUAAUAAGUAAUAUGUGCAUUUUGUAGCUAUGAGUUUGCUUUUACUGAAUACUUGCAAAAUUAAUUGUUAUAGCUGCUAUAGUGUUGCCAAUUGUAUGCGAUUAAUGGACCUGCACAAGAUUUAGUCACUGGUAGUUUUAUGUGGUGUGGAAUAAGUAGAAAGUGGACUAAAAUAUUAUACCAUCAGUUAGUAGUUCUCUAUCAUUGUGUUGUACUUAUGGUGCUCGGCAGUGUUACUUUUAUUAUUCUAAUAUUAUCAUAAAUGAAUAACCUUGCUAAGUGGAAUUUUUUUUUUUUCUGAAAACGAAAAGAAAAAGCUAACACAGGAUCUUCAAAAAGAGAGAGCUAGAGCGGAAUCGGAGAAAAAACAAGCUGAUGAAAUGUCGAAAACUUUAAAAACCAAACAAGCGAAAGUUGAAUCUCUAAAGUCCGAGAAAAACAAUAACGAUCUAAGUUCACAGAAAUCCGAGCAUCGGAAUUUGGAAACAGAAAUUGGGCGGCUCAAAGAGCUUUAUGAAAACGAGAGAAAAGUAGCUUAUUGUGAGGCAAAAAAAGCCGAAACCGAGAAGAGAAACACUCACAAAGUGAAAGAAAUGUUGAAGGCUCAGCAAUGGGGUGGGUCAUUUAACCAAAAUGCAUCGCGCGAGGAAUUUCCCGUGCAACGGGCGGUCCG